UACAGAGGGGGCAAGCGUUGUUCGGAAUUACUGGGCGUAAAGGGCGCGUAGGCGGCCUUCUAAGUCGAACGUGAAAUCCCUGGGCUCAACCCAGGAACUGCGUCCGAUACUGGAAGGCUUGAAUCCGGGAGAGGGAUGCGGAAUUCCAGGUGUAGCGGUGAAAUGCGUAGAUAUGUGGAGGAACACCGAUGGCGAAGGCAGCCUCCUGGGCCAAUACUGACGCUCAUGCACGAAAGCGUGGGGAGCAAACAGG
rnacentral:rRNA from 1 species